rnacentral:rRNA from 1 species
AUUGAACGCUGGCGGCAGGCCUAACACAUGCAAGUCGAACGAGUGGCGGACGGGUGAGUGAUGGCUGGGAAACUGCCUGAUGGAGGGGGAUAAGUAGUGGAAACGGUAGCUAAUACCGCAUACCAUCAGAUGUGCCCAGAUGGGAUUAGCUUGUUGUGGGGGUAACGGCUCACCAAGGCUACGAUCCCUAGCUGGUCGUAGAGGAUGACCAGCCACACUGGAACUGAUACACGGUCCAGACUCCUACGUGAGGCAGCAGUGGGGAAUAUUGCACAAUGGGCGAAAGCCUGAUGCAGCCAUGCCGCGUGUAUGAAGAAGGCCUUCGGGUUGUAAAGUACUUUCAGCGGGGAGGCGUUACCCACAGAAGAAGCACCGGCUAACUCCGUGCCAGCAGCCGCGGUAAUAC